GCACUGGUGGUUCAGUGGUAGAAUUCUUACCUGCCACGCAGGAGGCCUGGGUUUGAUUCCCGGCCAAUGCA
rfam:Callithrix jacchus chromosome 20, whole genome shotgun sequence